rnacentral:rRNA from 1 species
GAUGAACGCUGGCGGCGUGCCUAAUACAUGCAAGUCGAACGCGAGCACUUGUGCUCGAGUGGCGAACGGGUGAGUAAUACAUAAGUAACCUGCCCUAGACAGGGGGAUAACUGCUGGAAACGGUAGCUAAGACCGCAUAGGUAUGGACACUGCAUGGUGACCAUAUUAAAAGUGCCAAGGCACUGGUAGAGGAUGGACUUAUGGCGCAUUAGCUAGUUGGUGAGGUAACGGCUCACCAAGGCGACGAUGCGUAGCCGACCUGAGAGGGUGACCGGCCACACUGGGACUGAGACACGGCCCAGACUCCUACGGGAGGCAGCAGUAGGGAAUUUUCGGCAAUGGGGGAAACCCUGACCGAGCAACGCCGCGUGAAGGAAGAAGGAAUUCGUUCUGUAAACUUCUGUUAUAAAGGAAGAACGGCGGAUAUAGGGAAUGAUAUCCGAGUGACGGUACUUUAUGAGAAAGCCACGGCUAACUACGUGCCAGCAGCCGCGGUAAUACGUAGGUGGCGAGCGUUAUCCGGAAUUAUUGGGCGUAAAGAGGGAGCAGGCGGCAGCAGAGGUCUGUGGUGAAAGACUGAAGCUUAACUUCAGUAAGCCAUAGAAACCGGGCAGCUAGAGUGCAGGAGAGGAUCGUGGAAUUCCAUGUGUGGCGGUGAAAUGCGUAGAUAUAUGGAGGAACACCAGUGGCGAAGGCGACGAUCUGGCCUGUAACUGACGCUCAUUCCCGAAAGCGUGGGGAGCAAAUAGGAUUAGAUACCCUAGUAGUCCACGCCGUAAACGAUGAGUACUAAGUGUUGGGAGUCAAAUCUCAGUGCUGCAGUUAACGCAAUAAGUACUCCGCCUGAGUAGUACGUUCGCAAGAAUG